rnacentral:rRNA from 1 species
GAUGAACGCUGGCGGCGUGCCUAAUACAUGCAAGUCGAGCGAACGGACGAGAAGCUUGCUUUUCUGAUAUUAGCGGCGGACGGGUGAGUAACACGUGGAUAACCUACCUAUAAGACUGGGAUAACUUCGGGAAACCGGAGCUAAUACCGGAUAAUAUUCUGAACCGCAUGGUUCAAAAGUGAAAGACGGUCUUGCUGUCACUUAUAGAUGGAUCCGCGCUGCGUUAGCUAGUUGGUAAGGUAACGGCUUACCAAGGCAACGAUGCAUAGCCGACCUGAGAGGGUGAUCGGCCACACUGGAACUGAGACACGGUCCAGACUCCUACGGGAGGCAGCAGUAGGGAAUCUUCCGCAAUGGGCGAAAGCCUGACGGAGCAACGCCGCGUGAGUGAUGAAGGUCUUCGGAUCGUAAAACUCUGUUAUUAGGGAAGAACAUAUGUGUAAGUAACUGUGCACAUCUUGACGGUACCUAAUCAGAAAGCCACGGCUAACUACGUG